GACGAACGCUGGCGGCGCACCUAAGACAUGCAAGUCGGACGAUCGGGAGACCGAUAGUGGCGGACGGGUGAGUAACACGUGGGCGACCUGCCGCGCGGUGGGGGAUAACGGGGGGAAACCCUCGCUAAGACCGCAUGCGACCGCUCCCAUAGGGGGGAGGGGGGAAAUGCCGAGAGGCAGCCGCGCGAGGGGCCCGCGGCGGAUUAGCUAGUUGGGGGGGUAGCGGCCCCCCAAGGCGACGAUCCGUAGCUGGUCUGAGAGGACGGCCAGCCACACC
rnacentral:rRNA from 1 species